rnacentral:tRNA from 1 species
GCGCCCGUAGCUCAGCUGGAUAGAGCGUUAGGUUGCGGACCUAAAGGUCGGGGGUUCGAAUCCCUUCGGGCGUACCA